AACUGUCAAUUGAUGAUAUUGUUUACAAAACAAUGGGAAUCUCUCUGAAUAAGAGUGAAAGAAUACUUGUAACUGAUGCAGUG